CGCCCCCGGACCCGGCAGGACGGACUCGCCGCGCGACUUCAGCGCCGGGACGCGGGGCAGCGCGAGGGUCACGUGGGCAGAACGUGCGGCGGCCAUGACAGCCGAGGCACGAGCGCUCCAGCGGCCCCGAGACGGGAACUGCGUCCAUGGCUGCUCUGCGCCCCGGGCACACCCUCUCCACUAAGCUUCUCCCUCGGCCCAUCUCGCUCCCGGCCUCCGAUGCCGGGGCAGCUCAGAAGCAGAGAGGCUGAAAGGGUGGUGGAGAGGAACCAACGCAGGGAAGAAAAACACAACACUGAACGGAGACUGAAAAUACUUGGAAAGAGCCCACUGGCUCGCUCCCUCAGACCUACAUCGCAUGGGGAAGAAAGGGCCUACGUACUGACACUGCAGGCUCAACGGGGCAGGCACUGGCUUUUGGUUAUAUGCAUAAAACAGCAUCUAUCACAUUAGCUUAUCCUGUCUGUAACUGAGGUCUGUAGGUGCUACCGUGCAGUUCUGCCAACUCUCGCCAAUUUAUCACAAGUCUCAGGAUAUUUGGUGUUUGGUAUUUUUUAAUGAAAGCUGAGGUUCUUAUGCAAAGUAAGCUUCUAGCCUUUGUGACUGCAGAGAAAAGCUUGAAAACUCAAAGCCUAAAGCCUCAAAAAUCAGAAGGCAAAUCAAAGGAAUCUCAACUUUGUUGUGUAAAAAUCUCAUGAUUUUUAAGACAAUCGGUGAUUUUCAUGGGGCUGACUCACUGUUUUUAAACCCGAUACAAAUAAUAAAUAAGAGUCUCUACACGUUUUUCUGUUUUCCCACUAGAAGGCAGGAGGGAGCCAAAUUUUGUUAGACCAUAGCAGCCCUUGAACACUUAGCAAAAGCUAUCAGUUACAAUUACAGCCAUAGAUUGUUACUGUAGAUAGACAGAUGGAAUUUCCUCUUUGAUAUCAACAUCUUUUGUAAGGUUUCAGAGUAGCAGCCUGUUAGUCUGUAUUCGCAAAAAGAAAAGGAGGACUUGCGACACCUUAGAGACUAACACAUUUGAGCAUAAAUAAAUUUGUUAGUCUCUAAGGUGCCACAAGUACUCCUUAUCUUUUGUAAGAGGUCUGUGGUAAACCCACUGUGCAACAGCCACUGCGUGUUGGAAAGGAUCUGUCAGGAAAUCCCUUUCUUCAGCAACUCUUGCAAAAUGUCCCUCAACUUUUGUUGAACAUGUAGCGUCUCUUGGCUGCAGGAGACAGACUGCAAUUCAGCAGCUCUUUUCUCUGACUUGUUUAUCAAUCAGUCAUUUAGCCAACAUGAGUGUAUUACAACCAUAAAAUGCCUUUUCAAACCACAGAUGUAUUUAGCUAGUAAAACACUGUAAUGGAUUAAAAGAGAUGUAUGUAUUAACUUUACAUGGGAGUCUCCUACAA